GACGAACGCUGGCGGCGUGCUUAACACAUGCAAGUCGAACGAAAAGAGGGGAAGAGCUUGCUCUUUCCGGAAUUGAGUGGCAAACGGGUGAGUAACACGUAAACAACCUGCCUUCAGGAUGGGGACAACAGACGGAAACGACUGCUAAUACCGAAUAAGUUCCAAGGGCCGCAUGGCCCAUGGAAGAAAAGGUGGCCUCUACCUGUAAGCUAUCGCCUGAAGAGGGGUUUGCGUCUGAUUAGCUGGUUGGAGGGGUAACGGCCCACCAAGGCGACGAUCAGUAGCCGGUCUGAGAGGAUGAACGGCCACACUGGAAUUGAGACACGGUCCAGACUCCUACGGGAGGCAGCAGUGGGGAAUCUUCCGCAAUGGGCGAAAGCCUGACGGAGCAACGCCGCGUGAGUGAUGACGGCCUUCGGGUUGUAAAACUCUGUGAUCCGGGACGAAAAGGCAGAGUGCGAAGAACAAACUGCAUGGACGGUACCGGAAAAGCAAGCCACGGCUAACUACGU
rnacentral:rRNA from 1 species